UGUAUGCAUAUUUUUCGACUCUCGCUCCGAAGCCAAAGGUGGAGAUGCCCCUCUUUGUGCCGUACUCUCAUCAGUACGACGGCAGGUGCUUGCGAAGGACCAAAGAGACCUUUUCAUUUUUCUAUCAGUAUUUCGACACCGUGACCGUGGCAAAGAUCACUUGGCAGCCUGGGGCGACGAUGCCGACCGGAGUCAGGGACCAGUUCGCUAGAUCUUGGGGAGCCUCCUGUUAUCAACUUUUGUUUGAGGGCCCGGUUUGUGGAGCCUGGUUUUUAGGCGAGCGGUUCUUACGCCAAACCAUGGGCCUGCCUGAGCCAGUAGUUCCCAUGGCACCUCUGCCAUCUAUGAGAGCCACAGAGAGACUCACCUUCCAAGAGAUGAUUCAGUUCACGGAGGGCUUGGAGGCCGACUACUUUCGCGGGGAAGGCAACUAUUCGACAUUCAUCUAGACACACCUCAUGCCUCCUUUGACCGGUAUUUGUGAAGGCGAGAAGGCGGGGGCUCCAGCUACGAGGGAGAGAGCCAGAGUGUCCAGGGUGGCUAGGGCGACUAGGGCACAUGGUAGAGGGGCUACCCAGAGGAUUGGUUGGCCAGAGCUGCCUACUGCACUCACAUGUUGGAGGUAUACUAGAGAGGCAUACUAGAUUCUGAUUGAGCCUGCUGCAGUGGGGCAUAGAUAUGUCAGAGCUCAUGAUGCACCCCCGGAUACACCAAGGAUCUGCUGGAGCUACUAGCCUCAUUUGAGGAUAUGAUAUUGAAGAGGGAGGCACUGCUCGACUUCCACGGCAUUCAGGUCCCACCCAUACGGACAGCACCAGCGCAGUUGCAGCACCUGCACCAGCGAUGUCUCCAUCAAUAGUAGGAAGGGGAGAGAGACAGGCUCUAAUACGCAGCCGAGGUAGAGCCAGAGGUAUCCGAGAUGAGAGUGGUCCUUCAGAGCCCAUUCUGAGCGAUGAUGAUGCCGAGACGAGUGGCUCUAAAGAGGCAGUGAGUCCACAAUCUAAGUCCUCUGAGAGUGGAGACGACGGCGACUCUGGUUCCGAGAGUGGGGAUGCUGAUGCCGAGGCAGGUUCAGAGAGAGAGAGAGUGAAGAUGGCACCGGCUCAGACUCUAGUUCAGAUUCAGACAGCGGUGCCAACGAAGAUAGUGCCCCUAAGUCCCUUCCUUCGAGGAAGAAGACGAAGAGGGCAUCACGAGCCUGAGGCGACUGGCACUGAUUUUCCUGUAGUUUUUGUUUAGCCUCUUUUGUUAGUAGUGUUAGCACAUGUAUAGCUUCAGACAGGUUUUAUUUGCUUCAAAAACUUGUACCACACUUUUGUAAAAGAAAACAACCAUGAUCGGAAUGAAAACCUGUUUUUAUUU